UACAGAGGGUGCAAGCGUUGUUCGGAAUUAUUGGGCGUAAAGCGCGCGUAGGCGGCUACUUAAGUCGGAUGUGAAAGCCCCCUGGCUUAACUGGGGAAGUGCACCCGAAACUGAGUAGCUAGAGUGCGAAAAGAGGGUCGCGGAAUUCCCCGGGUGUAGAGGUGAAAUUUCGUAGAUAUCGGGAGGAACACCGGUGGCGAAAGCACUCUGCUGGGCCGACACUGACACUGAGAGACGAAAGCUAGGGGGAGCAAACGGG
rnacentral:rRNA from 1 species